rnacentral:rRNA from 1 species
CUAUGUUGGGACUGGAUAAACGCUGAAGCAUCUAAGCGUGAAGCCAACCUCAAGAUGAGAUUUCCCAUAGCGUAAGCUAGUAAGACUCCUGGAAGAACACCAGGUUGAUAGGUCAGAGAUGUAAGCAUGGCAACAUGUUAAGUUGACUGAUACUAAUAAGUCGAGGGCUUGACCAA